rnacentral:rRNA from 1 species
AGCGUGCGCAGGCGGUUAUGUAAGACAGAUGUGAAAUCCCCCGGGCUCAACCUGGGAACUGCAUUUGUGACUGCAUGGCUAGAGUACGGUAGAGGGGGAUGGAAUUCCGCGUGUAGCAGUGAAAUGCGUAGAUAUGCGGAGGAACACCGAUGGCGAAGGCAAUCCCCCUGGACCUGUACUGACGCUCAUGCACGAAAGCGUGGGGAGCAAACAGGAUUAGAUACCCGUGU